CCUGAUGACAAUAGCAAGCCGGAACCACCCCUGCCCAUCCCGAACAGGACCGUGAAACAGCUUCGCGCCAAUGAUAGUGCGGACUCCCGUGUGAAAGUAGGUCAUCGUCAGGC
rnacentral:rRNA from 1 species